AACGGCCGCGGUAUCUUGACCGUGUGAAGGUAGCGUAAUCAUUUGUCUUUUAAAUGAAGACCUGUAUGAAUGGCACAACGAGGGCUUGACUGUCUCACUUUCUUGGUCAAUGAAAUUGAUCCCCCCGUGCAGAAGCGGGGAUAAAAACACAAGACGAAAAGACCCUGUGGAGCUUUAAACAAAAUAAUACACGAACCUAUUCAUUAUACAGUGCCUAUUAUUAUGUUUUUGGUUGGGGCGACCACGGAGAAAAAAAUAACCUCCACGCGGAAGAACAAGAAAGUUCUUAAAAACAAGAAACCACACUUCUAAGUUCCAGAAUAUCUGUCCACAAAGACCCGGCAAUUAAUUGCCGAUCAACGAACCAAGUUACCCCAGGGAUAACAGCGCAAUCCCCUUUUAGAGCCCUUAUCAACAAGGGGGUUUACGACCUCGAUGUUGGAUCAGGACAACCUAAU
rnacentral:rRNA from 1 species